rnacentral:rRNA from 1 species
CUAGGGAGCGAAGCAAUUGGAAGUGGUUCCAAGAAAAGCCUCUAAGCUUCAGUCUAACGAUGACCGUACCGCAAACCGACACAGGUGGGCGAGAUGAGUAUUCUAAGGCGCUUGAGAGAACUCGGGAGAAGGAACUCGGCAAAUUGGUACCGUAACUUCGGGAUAAGGUACGCCCUUGUAGCUUGACUGGCCUGCGCCAGGAGGGUGAAGGGGUUGCAAUAAACUGGUGGCUGCGACUGUUUAAUAAAAACACAGCACUCUGCAAACACGAAAGUGGACGUAUAGGGUGUGACGCCUGCCCGGUGCCGGAAGAUUAAAUGAUGGGGUGCAAGCUCUUGAUUGAAGUCCCGGUAAACGGCGGCCGUAACUAUAACGGUCCUAAGGUAGCGAAAUUCCUUGUCGGGUAAGUUCCGACCUGCACGAAUGGCGUAACGAUGGCCACACUGUCUCCUCCCGAGACUCAGCGAAGUUGAAGUGUUUGUGAUGAUGCAAUCUACCCGCGGCUAGACGGAAAGACCCCAUGAACCUUUACUGUAGCUUUGCAUUGGACUUUGAACCGAUCUGUGUAGGAUAGGUGGGAGGCUAUGAAACCGGAACGCUAGUUUCGGUGGAGCCGUCCUUGAAAUACCACCCUGGUUUGUUUGAGGUUCUAACCUUGGCCCGUGAUCCGGGUCGGGGACAGUGCAUGGUAGGCAGUUUGACUGGGGCGGUCUCCUCCCAAAGCGUAACGGAGGAGUACGAAGGUACGCUAGGUACGGUCGGAAAUCGUGCUGAUAGUGCAAUGGCAUAAGCGUGCUUAACUGCGAGACCGACAAGUCGAGCAGGUGCGAAAGCAGGUCAUAGUGAUCCGGUGGUUCUGUAUGGAAGGGCCAUCGCUCAACGGAUAAAAGGUACUCUGGGGAUAACAGGCUGAUACCGCCCAAGAGUUCAUAUCGACGGCGGUGUUUGGCACCUCGAUGUCGGCUCAUCUCAUCCUGGGGCUGUAGCCGGUCCCAAGGGUAUGGCUGUUCGCCAUUUAAAGAGGUACGUGAGCUGGGUUUAAAACGUCGUGAGACAGUUUGGUCCCUAUCUGCCGUGGGCGUUGGAUAUUUGAAGGGGGCUGCUCCUAGUACGAGAGGACCGGAGUGGACGAACCUCUGGUGUACCGGUUGUCACGCCAGUGGCAUCGCCGGGUAGCUAUGUUCGGAAGAGAUAACCGCUGAAAGCAUCUAAGCGGGAAACUCGCCUUAAGAUGAGAUAUCCCUGGGGACUAGAUCCCCUUGAAGGGUCGUUCGAGACCAGGACGUUGAUAGGUCAGGUGUGUAAGCGCAGUAAUGCGUUCAGCUAACUGAUACUAAUUGCCCGUAAGGCUUGAUCCUAUAACAAGUCUG